GGGCUCACUUCAGUAGCACACAUGGUAAAACUGGAACAAUACAGAGAAGAUUCACAUGGCCACCGUGCAAGAAAAACAUGUGAGUUCGUGAAGUGUUCUGUAUUUUC
ensembl:snRNA U6 U6 spliceosomal RNA